AUUAUGGGCAGUACUCUGCGCCGGCGCGCUGGCCCAAAUUUGGGUCGGUCACGUGCGAGCCGUCAGUUCCAUGCGCCCCUGGCCGUCAGAUGCGUUCCCCAUCAUCUCUUUCACACACCACCCCCGGUCGCAUCUCAAAAACACAAAGCAUGGAAACAUGGCGGCCACCCUCCUUUCCUCACGCAGUGCCUGUUCCUCGACAUCAUGCUAGGUGGCCGUACCGGCAGCCAUCACCGCCCUCGCCCUAGUCAUUUGUCGUCGACGCUCGUCAUCAUGAAGUUGGAAAAAUACAAAGGGUUGUAGACCCGUUGCAACUUUUUUCUCGCCUUCCUGGUUGUUUGGAUAGCUAGAUUAUAGAGAACUAGUUUCCCUUAAACCUGAUUUCUGGUGUAACUACCUAAAACAUUGUUUGGAUUAUCUAACAAACUCGCGGAUAUACUAAACUGAGUUUUCCAAAAGCCUAAAAAACAAGUUUAUAUAAAAACGACUAAUAGACGUUUUUAUAUAAACGUGUUUUCUAUAUGCACUAGGAGUUCAACGAAGUCCCACGUGCAGAUCAUGGUAAACUCCACUGGCUGUGACCGCAGCUCGCCGAUCUCGGCCAGGUACCCGGGAGCAGGUUGCGAUGCUCCACCGCCUCGAUGGCAGUAGACUUCGGCCGCGGCUGCCGCCUUCAUGGUGGAGGUGGACUUCACAACCACGCCGUCCAUAUGCAGAUAUGCUCCAGCUUGUAGGUCAUAUGUGAGCUGCAUGUACGUGGAUCUUCAUGGCGGAAAGAAUUUGUCACCGGAGGGACGUUCGACGGGACCUGGACCAACAUGCAUGACACCGGUGAAGGAAGCAGAGCAUAAUCAGGCGAUAAGCACGACCACCCUGGCGGCCACGCUGACAACCGCGCACCUCCGCCGGAGAGCUGUUUACGGUGUGGUCGUCCACCACUGUGCGUGUAGGUGCCAAGAGCGAAGAAGCACUGCACCUCCAUGAAUUUUUCUCUCCCCAAAACGAAGAACUCAAAAUCAUGCUUUUCUGUUUCCUCAUCCAAACAAGAUAUUGUAUGUACUUAUCUUAACAGAAUAACUAAUAAAAACUGGUUUUCCUAAAAAUCCUCCAAAAACUCGUUUUCUAAAAUCUCACAUCUAAUUCCCCAUAUCCAAACAACCACUUCAUGUUGCAAAUAUGGUGGCUCCUCAGCGCCGACCACGAUGUCAUUCCUCCCCACAGCCGCCCCACCCCAGGUUGCAACAUCAAUGGCGAUGGUGGCAUCGAUAGUGUUGCUGGCAGCCGAAAAAGCCGGGGUAGAAAAACAAAAAUGCUGGUUCCAGCAAAAGUAGAAGACUGUGGUAGCAAAAAAAAAACCGGUUCCAGCAAAAAUCAAAUAGGGUGGUAGCAAAAUUCUGGCUAGUUCCAGCAAAAUCAAAAGAAGGUAGGAGCAAGGAUCGGGGCUGGUUCCAGCAAAAAACAAAUAUGGUGGUAGCAAAAUUCUGGCUGGUUCUAGCAAAAUCAAAAGAAGAUAGUAGCAAAAAUUAGGGCUAGUUCUAGCAAAAAAACAAACACGGUAGUAGCAAAGUAGUCCAUACUUUCCAGCAAAAACAAACUAUGGUAACGAAAAAAUGGUUGGUUCCAACAUCUUGGCGUGUGAUCACCAAAACGAUCUUGCCUGUGGGCAGCAAAAAUUAUUGUCGGUCCCAGCAAAACAGUUCUCGGCGGCGUCUGGUUGCAACAUUGGUCAGAGCUCCCCGUUGCAACACCGUGCUCCUUCCCGGCAGUGGACGUGCCCGGUCGCUGCACUGCGUGUCGCCGGUGGCAGCUGUGCGCGCUCCUGCUCGCAGCUCUAACACCACGACCAUCACUGGGGAGAGAAGGUGAAGGUGGGUGUGCGGCCAUGCAAAGAGCGCCCCUUGGCUUCGCACCUUGCAGCAUCAGUGGCCGCACCCCCUGCAGCACGCGGCGGUCUGAUGGUUGCGGUGAUGUGUGCGGGGCUGUGUGGAGAUUUUCGAUUUGAGGCAGAGCGAAGAAGACAUGUGGUCUGGCUCUGUGCAGAUGAAGGGAUAUGGAUAAGAAUGAG
rnacentral:rRNA from 1 species